rnacentral:lncRNA from 1 species
AUGACCACUCGCUUCACUUCACAAUUUUUCCUUUUAAAGAACCUAAAAAAUACAAGAGAUCAGUAUCCAGCUUCACUAGGUUCCAGUUCUGAUUCUUUGAGAGAAUCUUUGUACGAAUUUGAGUAUCGUCGAAACAUUGCAUUGAACGCUGUGGAUAACUCCUCCUUUUGUUAUCACCUAGAAACAGAGCCAAUGUAUUUCAGGUCAUUUAAUUGACUUUAAUCAUAAAAUGAGCUUGGUUCUUACAUCUCAAAGGCAAAAAUCGAGAGGGUGCUUGUAAGCAAAAUAGAUAAAAUGCAUUGACUACUCCAGAAGAUUCUCAAAGUAGUUAACGAUUCAUAAGAAGGCAGACGUCCAUGUAUACAAAUUGAUUUUGUGCAUAUUCAUAUAUAUUUCAUACAUUCGUAUGUUUAAUCUAAGAACUGUGUGAAAAUUGUGAACUGUUCGAUGGAUAAAUCUAGUCAAAGAAAAACAGCUGAGUCCUGCAGGUGUUGUUUUUUCUAUGAUAAUUGGCCUUUUGGAGUUCCACCCUAUUAUUUCACCCUUCCCAAAGGUGUAAAACAAAAAUCUGAAAAUAAAAAUCAAAGCAGAAAAAUGCAGCAUAAAAUUUUUGUUACUGAGACAAUUUUUGUGUUUGUUACUAGAAUGUGAAAAGAUUAAAUUUCCAUGAAAGGCGACAGUUUUAUGAAAGAUUCCUUCACUUUCUAGAUUCCUAAAAUGUUUAAAACGUCCCUUGUUACUGGCUUUGUAAAAUUCCUAAGGCUAGAACUGAAAUAUUUGGAUUGGUACUUCAGGCGCAUUUUUUCACCAUUCCAUACUUGAGAUGAGGCGCAAACUCUUCUACGCUCCACUUUUUCUACAUUUUUUGUGUAGGUAUUUUCAGAAGUGAAUCAAAAUAAAAUCAAUCCAAUUUCAAUAUUUCUCGAAAUCAAUUUAUUUCUAAGAUAUCUAUAGAACUCGUAUAUUCAACUAUUCAAAAUUCCAAGGACUCAGAGGAGGCGAUUCGCAUCAUUUCAGCAUUAUCAAGGAGUAUACUGAAUCAAUCGACAACUGCCAAUCUGCAACUCUUCUCUUUUCUUUUUCUAUCUAACACCUAUUAGCUGAGAAUAAGUUUAGACUGAGCUCCUUUUGAAGUGAAUUAUUGAUAUUUCGGGUUAUCUAAAUUUUGCUGUUGUAGGUUCAUUCAUGUGGAAGUAGAGAAGUAGUAUCUUGGAAAUAGCACAGCAAUGCAGAUUUCAGAUUCUCUAGUUUCACUGUUCAGGGUGUCUACCAAAACAGGCUGGCCAAAAAUCAGUACUUCUACAGUACCUACAAAUGUAGAAAUUCGAAAAAUUUCAAAAUUUGAAUUUCCACUCAAAUUGGGACAAAAAUAACAGAAAAUGAAAUAAAAUCCGGAUCUUCUUCGGAAUUUCUGCACUUUUUCAGUUCUUCCGAACCGCCCUUGAAAAACCAGAACUAUUUCCGGAUUUCCAGAAAUUCCGAACUUGUAGACACCCUGCUUUGCUACAUUCUUGAGAAAGCCUAAUGCAGACUAAAUGUUGAGAAAAUUUCUGCAACAACGUUAGAAUGAGAACUGAACAUUUGGUAACGUAGUCUCGCUUACCUCUAUCAAAUGAAUCAUUGGAGUAUUUUGUUGGUGGGAGACUAGCUGGAGAUUCAUUGAG